AUGGAUUACAAAGGGGGCGAGGAUAUUGGUGAAACAGUGCGCACUGGGAGGGGUGUGUGCGGCUCGUAUGAUCUUGGCGGCGAAGGGAUGGAUGAUUCCUGCGAGAUAGACGAUUCAUAUAUUGCGUCUGAUGCCGGGAACGAGGGUGCGGACGAGGAGGGCGUGGGAGUAACCAAUACGAAUCAAUCUUCUUGGACCAGGAGGGUCAGAGUUGGGAAGGCAAAGGAUGAGAGGGAGCCGAGCCCUUCAAGGAUGCCUCCCCUUGAAGCUUCUGUCCGUGCAUAUGUCGAUAAAAAAUCAGGAAAUGUUGGCAAUCCAUCGAUUGGGACUAGUUUUGAUUCUGUCGAAGAAGGCUACGAGUUUUACAGUAUGUAUUCCUGGGAGGCCGUCUGA
rnacentral:rRNA from 1 species